UACGAAGGGGGCUAGCGUUGUUCGGAAUUACUGGGCGUAAAGAGCGUGUAGGCGGCCAGGUAGGUCGGUUGUGAAAACUGGAGGCUCAACCUUCAGACGUCGACCGAAACCAUCUGGCUAGAGUCCGGGAGAGGAGAGUGGAAUUCCUGGUGUAGCGGUGAAAUGCGCAGAUAUCAGGAAGAACACCCGUGGCGAAAGCGGCUCUCUGGAACGGUACUGACGCUGAGACGCGAAAGCGUGGGGAGCGAACAGG
rnacentral:rRNA from 1 species